GGGGCUUUAGGGAGGCCUUUCCCAAGGUGGUGAUGACUUGAGAUGGGCAAUAGGAGGGUGUUAGGGUGAGGUAGGUGAGGUAGAUGGCAGACACUAGGGCAAUCCAAUCAGUAAGACGGCCUGAGGAAGUAGAGCUGCAUUUACAAAAAUGAGAAAUCCUAAGGGGACUGCUUUAGAAGCAGUCUGUGGUGAUUGGAGUCCAAGCUGUGAGACUUGGUGACAGAGAGUGCAGCCAGGUAGGUUGGCAAGACACAAGCCAAUCAUGAAGGGCCUUCUCCACAAGGAUUUUGACCCCCAACUUUAGCCUUGUGGGGGUGGUAGACCCCUGAGGGGUUUAAAGCAAGGCUGUGAUGUCACCAGCAUUGGCUUUUAAGUAGCUCGUUCAGGUGUUUCUCACCCUUCUUUCUUCUGUGUCCCCUCAUCUUCAUAUCUUGUGACACAUAAACCACCCGUGAUUAAAGUGGUGACACUAAAAACAGGAACUGGUAGUAAGCUGACAUUUACGCAUGCAUAGUUCAUCAUCUGCUGCCAUGUGACAAGUAGUUCUGCAGGUGCACUUUGUGGCCCAUUCUCUACCAUGGUGCUUGCUCCUCCUUGGUCUUUUCAUAGGGUCAGGAACACUGGGAGAGGAUACAGUGGGGAAGAUAUCCUUGGGGAGUUGGCCAUUCGGCCCCUGGAAGUCCCGGCAGACCAAGAAGUAGGAAGUGUUACAUGGAGCUCUCGAGAGCGUGUUGCUCUUUUACAACAAGGACUGACAGGCAAACCAGUUCUGAUUCUUGAGACUCAGAGACCCUCCAGUAGAUAACUGAGCAUUCCCCACCACAGCUACUCUCGUCAGAUCAGCCCCCUGAGGCCGCAGGACUAUAAGCCUAUAAGCCUAUAAGCCUGGGUAACUGCAUACUUCCUCAAUCAUUAUCACCAGGGAUUUCACCCUGCUUGUCUAUGGUAAGGAGGGCUGGAGGGCCCCACAUAUGAAAUUGAGCUUUCCUUUACCCUGCUUGGCCAGACCAGAGCCAUCUCAUAGCUCAAGCUUUCCCUUCUUGGUUCAGAGAGGCUGCAGGAGCCAAACA
rnacentral:lncRNA from 1 species